AUAUGUGUAUGUGUGUGUAUAUAUAUCAGAGGAUGUUAUAGAUAUUAACCCUGGGGUUAUAUUUAUGGUAUUAUGUACUGAGGUGCUGACCAUAUGGUAUGAAAGUGAGUUAGGAGUUGAAAGGCACAUUUCUUCACUUUUUCAUAAGCUUUUCAUUAGUUUUUAUGACGUUUUUUCUUGCCUGGACAUUUUAACAUUUUAGCCUCCUUUGAAUAGAUCCUGAGAAAUGGCUUGUUACUGCUUGGUAGUCUCAGAGCGAAAAUUUGAGAGAGAGAAAGAAAAAGAAAAUUUAUAUGAUAAAUUAAGCUAUUAUUUUUUUAUUAAAAAUAAAUAAGCUAUUAUUUUAUAAAAUAAUAAUUUAAAGUGAGAAAUAAUGUCUAUUCCUUAGACCUUGUUUUACAACUCUAUAUAAUUUUCCUAAUAUGGGUAACUCAAUGUAUGUCAGAGGUGAAAGCAAUUGAUUUUCAGCUUAGCUAUCUAAUUAAAACUUCUACACAUCUUGUGAGCAGGGGCAGGGUAGGUAUGUCUAAAUAAUCAAAAUGCAUUCUUUUUGAACUUGCUAAAUUAUGUCCAUUGUAUUUAAGAAUUGUAAAACUACAGUUCCUAAAAUAGACUGUUUAGUUUGGAAUAUAAUGCAUGUUAUGCAUACAAAACGAGUUCCUGUAUGUACUGUAGAGGUAUGAAAACACUAUCGUAUAUCGAUAAGGAACAAGGUAAAUAAUAGCUUCUUUUUGAAAGAAAGUAUCUUUGCCUAAAAGAAUAACCAUGAACGCUUCAUGUAGUGAAAUGUAAGUCCUCUUCUGAAACACACCAUUAAUGGAUAUCAUCAUGUGGGCAUAUUUGUGACAGUAAGGUCUAAAAUAGUAGUGGUUGGAGACUGUGAUUUAGCAACCAGUCAUUUAGAACAUUUAAAGUUUGAUAGAUUUGCAUCUUUCUUACAGAUCACUUACUUUGAGACUUCUGCGUGUCUAUGAAUUUCUUUAUCAAGGCAUCAGUAGUUUGUGUGUAAAGACUAAGAGCGUAUUUCAGGGAGUGUAGGUCUGGGCUCUUUUCCAGGAAGUUCUUUUUCAGCCCACUUCCUCCAGCGUGGAAGUAUUGCUAAAAAGUAUUAAAAAAAAGAAAAGUAAAAUUCCAACUUGCUUUUAAAAGUAAGAUUGGCAGAGCCAGUUAGAUUUGUGAUUGUUGCAGUGAACUAUUGUCAUUUCUACAAUUGUUCUUUCUGAAGGUGAAGAUUUAAGAUUUGUAUGGGAAAAAUUUAAUUUUUUUUCUAUCUAAAAAAAAAAAAAUCUUGAAAAACAAGGUAUAGUUUACAGCACGAGUAAGGAAUAUAUUCUUUCUGAGCACAGAACAGAAUCUUUCUGUUACAAUUUUGAAAGAGAAGAUUCUAGAUUAUGAAGUUGUUGAUUAUCAUUGCAUUGUAACUAUGCCUGGAAUUAUGUUUUGCUCUGGGAAAUAACUGGAAUCUGGUUUGACCUUAAUUUUCACCACAUUCCUGUGUUGAGGGCUGCUGGUUAUUGCAGGGAUAAAGGUACCUGUAGGAGCAAAACAACUCAGAAAAUGAUUUCAGGUCAUCGGGCUGGAUCUGCUCGAAUUUCCUGUGCUAAACAGGACGAGACUGGACCUACCUUUAAUCUACUUGGGUCUUCAGACUUUUUGCUGUUGCCUAUAAAUGGUAAGCUUUGUAUGUAAACAACCAUAUCAUUUUUGUAUGCAAUCAAAUAAUUAAAAAAAAGACUUAACAGGUUUACAUUCUGAUACCUAAUACACUCAUCUUUGCAGAAGUAAACCUGAAAGUAGUUCCUCUGUUAUUCAUGUUCCAGUCUGGGUGAUUUCAAGGUUCACAGGUGCCAAAACAGGCUGGGAUCUUAAAAGUAAGUCACACUGACAAAUGAAGUGUGCAAACACAGGUAUGUAACGUCAUAGAUGUGGAAAUCAAUGCUGCAGUCUCAGUCAAAACUUGAGAAAUGUAAGUUACAUUGAAUGGUAUUUUUUCUUUGUAAAUUUUCUACGCAUUCACCAAACAAACAAACAAACAACAACAACAAAGAACAUACAAUCCCCCUCCAAAAUGGAAACUAGAACAAUAUAAUGAAUGAAAAUUAUCUCUAAGUUCAGAUAAUUAGAUAGGAGGGAUAAUUGAGGCCAGAAAUACAGUUUCAUUUUUGGUAACCUAUUAGCUAAGUUUUUUUUUUUUUUUUAACAGUAAUAUGUUGUAAUUAAGAUAAAAGAUUAUCCUUUUAUUUUACUCUCUCCCAAACAUUAAUACAAACAUAAUCUAUUAUAUUUUAACUGUAAGUUGUUCCGUGAAUUAAUUUUGGGUAGAAUAAUUUUUAUAGCUUUUGCUGCAAUCAAACUAGCAGACAUUUGUUUUCAAGUCACUAUGAAGAGUUUAGGAUCAGAUGGCUCUUGCUACAUAUUAAAGUGAUCUUCAUGGUUCUAGUGGACAAUUCUACAUUGAAAUCUACUUUUUAUGUAAUUACAUACUUGGUCAUUCCAACACUAAAUGGAAAAACAUAUAAAGCUGUACCUUUAUAGUAGCUAGUGCUACUUCCAUUAUUGCACACUGCCUCAGCGUCAGGCUUUUGGCAUCAUCUCGAAUCACAUGGUCCUGCAAAAGGAGUUAAGAACGUAGCUUUUUAUGAAAGAGAGACAGCAUUGUGGCCUGUCUACUUUUCGAAAAGCAGAACUUUCAAAUACUCCCUAAACUCUUAUGUUUAACAGGGAUUAAUUCUACUUCAGGAUUAUUUUAGAACAAAUUACAACCUAAAGCAACUGUUGUUCCUUGAAAACAGAGACUGUAAGGAAAAAGAUCCAAUUCUUAAUACUCAGUACCUGCAUCACUUUCUUUAAUUACUAGAAUAUGUUCUGUGAAACAGGUGAGUACGUACAUUUUCAGACCAAAAAAUUCUAUUGGAUGUUACUGAAACAAUUCAUCGUAGUAAAGAACUUGAAAUGUUAACUAAUGUUGGUUAAUGCCCCAUGUUAUUUAUAAUAGCUAAAAAGGGUUCUUACUACAACACCAGUUAAAUAGAAUCAUAAACUAACUAUGUUCCUGUGAACUUUAUCUAAUAUAAGCAUCCUGUGACUACUUAAGCUUCAUUUUUACUCCAACAAACUCAGUCAUUAUUUAUAGAAGCACAAUUUUCUGCAUUUUAUGUCAAUUCUGAAGUGAAAUUGGAAAAUUGAUUAGUAAACAACUGACAGUAUCAAACAUCUCAGGCCUCUCCGAAAUAACUGUAUGGACUUCAGUGAUGUGGUGCCAAUGAGUUCGUUGCAGAGGUAUAAGUCAUUUUUCAAUACCUAUUUUCAGUAAUAUGCUGAACAAGUACUCCUAUCUUAAUUUUUUAUCAUCAUUUAUUCUUAAUCUAUUUGGAUGAGACUGAAAAAUCAUUACUCAUCUAUGAACAGCUACUGCUAUGUUCAAGUUUAUUACAGUAAAUAAGAGUAAGAAUUUUGGCCUCACAGUCACCAAUACUUCAUCUGGUUUCCUGUUAGAGCAAGCCAUUCACUGUUUCAGUUGGCUACAUUACCUUGAGUUUUGAGAGUUGUCCAAGAUCUUUGGCUGCACUGAAUAUCAUCUGGGGCCCCUGCAAUCACAUUGAAAAUUCAGAAACCAGAAUCAAUAGAGUGUAGUUGCUUUGUAUGUCCACGUAUCUUGUUUUCUGCUAGGACAUUAUCCAAAAUCACUGUUUUGCAAAGCUAAAUGAAAAGUUAAAUUACACUUGAGACACAUUUAUAAUUUUGAUAAGAAGUAGUUGAAUCCCUUCAGCAUGAUACUUGAUACAAAUCAAAUAUUGACUUUCCAAUAGCGGUUUCUUGUGCUCCUGUCUGCUAUCUAAUUUUGUCUAAUUUUUUUAAGCUAAGGCUAUGCAGUGUUUCAAUGUCAACAUGUCCAUAAGUAAGUGCUAUGCUAAUAUAGAUAAUCACAAUGGGAAGUGAACAGCCUGAAGAACCUGCAAAAGCUUACCUCAUUGUCCAGAGUGAAAUCCUUAGUUGUGUAACACAUAGGAUAGUGAUCUAGCAUUAUGCCAAAGCUAACUUUUUUAAAGGUACUGUACUGUUAUGAAUUUAAACCCAUAUUUUUACAAAGCCAAAUACUGGCAAGAUACCAAAGGACGGUGACUAACUCUUUGCGUGAAAUAAACAGCAUCCUACUAUAUAAUUUUAUGAUCACUGUUUUAUCACAAGUACUCCAAGAAACAUAAUUACUAGUGCAGUUACUUAGCAGCUCAGCAAGACAUAGCUCUGGAUGUCUGGAUUUCAGGAGAACAAAAUCAAUACAAAUUACAUAGUGUAACAUAAAGCAAUUUUUCAUUAGUAUUUUCUGUUCCUAAAGGUUUCUGUUUCCAGAUCUUGUUUCACUGUACAUAUGCAAUAUAGGACUACAAAUAUAGAGCUACAUCUCAAAUUUUCAUUAUUUAUUAGUAGGCAGAAGAGUAAGAUAAAUGAGAUAAUUAAAAAAUAAACUCCAGUUUCUGAAUGCCUCUCACCCUCAGAGAGAAAGUAAUACUCAAAGCUGCAAAAAAUGGGAAAUCUCUUCUACAGUAUCCUACCUUUCAUCGAUUUUAAUUGUGUUCUCAGUUGUAACUAGAAGUAGCAAAACAAAUGGAGCAGUCUCUGCCUUUGUCAGUCUCUGCUUCUUCUCUACCCCUCCUCUGUUCUGUGUUCCAGAUGUCCACCCACAGCUUAAUAAAGUAUCCGCUUGCUAAACAAGCUGUUCUGAAAUGGGAUGUAACUAUCAUCACCAGUUACUGCUUGGUGUGAUUCUGAACAUUAGUAAAGACAACACUGGUGCUCACAAAUUGUAGAAGAUAAACAGAAAUGUGUACGCAGUUGGCAGUGAGAGGUUAUUUUUGCUGUAGUUAGUAGACAAGUAAUUAAUUUUUAAAUAGAGGUCAAUUUUCAAGCUGUUCAGGGGAAAUAUGUCCAAAAACGUUGUUUUAUAAUCCUAACUAACUGAUACAUCCCAUACCCCAAGUGGGCUUACUCAGCCUUAGAUUGGUAAUUCUGCAUUCUUGGUAACCAAUUAAAAAGAGCAGCAAAAAUGCUCAACUCUGAACCACACUGGUCUAUGAUUCAUGGUGUAACAACUGGUGUUGCAUAAAGCAAAUAAAUGAUAGCAAAACUCCUGCUUGAAAAUGUUACCACAUUAAGCACUUACACCAAAGUAAAUAAGUUUUACACCAAAAUUUUAGAAAAGCAAGUUCAAAAAUACCUAAAAUAUAAAAUUGACAUGGCCAGUGAAGGACAGCCUGAUUCUGAUUGUGUGUAUGUAACAACUACUAACAGAUUCAGCAAAUGGAGGCCUGGCUGGGCUGGCAGAAUUAGCUUUACUCUAAAAUUACUAAAAGCUCAUAUUUCAUUUCUACCUUAGCACGAUCUUCCCAUAUUGUGUUAGGUUUCCCCCCUGCCCUUCAGCGAUUUGAUUUCAUACCGAAUUUAUUAGAACCUUUAUACACUUACAGUUUGGUCUGUCAGUGGUGGAAGCACAAUUUGUUUUUCUAUUCUGUUCAAGACUAUCUUCCACAACUCCUUUAAAACCCGUUUCAGAACUGUCUUCUCACAGAUUUUUGCAGAGAGGCUUAAACUGGAACAAAAGAAAACACAAAUGAGUCUCCAAAACCAGCAUUGAGACUUCAGAGGUGCUGUGUCACUAUAUCUUCAGAUCAGUGGCCAUUGUGGCUAAGCAUUUCUGUACCAAUAAUAGUUAUUUCACACUUUUAUAAAUAAAUAUUUUUGAUUAGUAGAAGGUUUUCAGAUUAGAAAACCAUAUAAAUCCUGACUAACCCUCUAGUAGCACAUAACCCUUGAGUAAAUUAACCUGUAGGGCUGGGUAGACUGCCAGAAGUAAAAGGCUGACACACAAAUUUAGCAGCUACAAUUUUUCUUUUUUUUGCCAGGUUGGGAAACUGUGUACUGUACUCAACAGUAUUACAAUAGUCAACUCUUAUCAUAAACACUUUAAAUAAGUGCAGCUCUUAGUAGUAACGCAGAGAAGUAUUUUGGAAUUCCAGUGUCUGCCUUCAGCAUAGAGCCUUACAAAUAACAGAAACACUGUUGCUUUUUUGCCUUUUUAACUAACUUACAGUGCCAAAAACAAACACUCCUUCCCACUCCCAGGGCAGAGAAUGUGCAGAGCUGGCCAGAGCAAAAAACAUUCACAGAUGAGAGAGAGUGCAGAGCCUGGGAUGAAACAGACCUCAGAGGCUACCAGGAAUACUGAACCUAUUCUGCUGCCUCAGUCUCUCCAGACGAGGACUUAGCAGGACAGUCUUAACAAGCAUUCCACAAACGAGGGAUUUCUAUCUCAUAUAAUGGCUCCUGGAAGCCACUGGCUUCCCUGAGCCUGUUCUCUGCUCAGCACCUUCCUCAAAUCUUCUCAGCACAGCUCCAACUUUAACACCAGUGCUAUUCAACCAAUUCCUCCUAGUUAUGCUUCUUGUUCUACUUUACUUUAAGCAAGAAAGAUACUCCCUCAUCAGCAUCCUCAGCACUCCUUUUUCUACCUUCACGUUGAAAAUGUCUGCCUUGGAGAAAUAUACAUGAAGAGCCAAAGUGUUAAAAGGGUAACUAACUCACUCAUUUGGUUAAAGGUUAACACAUACAUAUGCAACUCAGGAUCUGAUGCUCAGGAUCAGUAUCAUGCUGCUUAGUCUCAAGGCCACUGCUGUUUCACAAAUGCCAAUAAUGACAUAGAAUCACAGAAUUUUAGGGGUUGGAAGGGACCUCUGAAGAUCCACCAGUCCAACCCCCCUGCUAAAGCAGGUUCCCUAGAGCAGGUUACACAGAAAAGCAUCCAGGUGAGUUUUAAAUGUCUCCAGAGAAGGAGACUCCACCACCUCUCCAAGCAGCCAGUUCCAUUGCUCUGUAAACCUCCCAGUAAAGUUUUUCCUCAUGUUCAUAUGGAACUUCCUGUGCUCCAAUUUGUGUCUGUUAUGGCCAAGGACAGCAAGGUGCUUACAGACAGCACAGGCACAUGCCUUUCUGAACAGCUGAUGCCGUUACUACUGGACAAUGAGGAGAGGAGACAUGCUUACUCUCAGGGCCAAUUUGAGUUUGUGUCAUUAUUUACUCAGUGGAAAAAAAGUAUAAAAAUUAAGCUCUUCUGUAAAUCAGUGGGAAUCUUUAAAUGGUGGCUAAGUUUUUAACAUUGUGGAAGUGCUUAUAAAUAAGCAGGGGACACUGUGUGCCAGCCUAGUCCAUAUGCCAAGAAAUUUCAAGAUAUGCAAUAGAGCGUUCAGCACAAUUUUCUUUUUACAAGUGCUUAUGGAGCGCAGAACAGACACAGCUCUGUUACAGUACCUCAGAACACGACAAGAAAUAGAAAGGCAGAUAUACUGCUUAUGGGAAAGUUUCUUAGUGUAAGUAAACGUGGUAAGUGUAGUAUCCUGUACACAUGAGAACACUACAAAUAUUAAAAAUACUGCAAACAGUCUCUAGGUAUUAUCCGUGCUUCAGGGUAAGGCUAAGCAUACAUCUUUAACUCUAGCGCCACAUUUCUAACAUGCCACACACAGUAAUGCGUCACACUUACGUUUUGUCCAGGAAAUCCAUGAGAGGCCGAAGUACAAUCUCUGCAUCAAUGGCUGCGCUGUUCUUGUUGGCUGCUGCGGUCCCAUUUCCUCUCAUUUGAUUGAGUUCAGAGCUCAUUUGUCUUACACAAUCUUCUAUUAUAGACUGGAAACUAUAGGAUAAAGGAAAAAAAAAAAGAGAGAAUUAAAGAAUUCUGGGAGAGAACACAAGACAGUAACCUACUCUAGGGAACCCGAGUUUAGCAAGGAGGUUGGACUGGAUGAUCUCCAAAAAUUCCUUCCAACUCCUACGGUUCUGUGAUUUAUGUUUUUGCAUCAGGUUCUUCCUCAAGACUCCUUUUUCUGCAAUGAAAAUGAAUCUUUUCCCAAACAAAACAUACUUCAGGUGCUACAGACUGAAAAUAUCACCUCCUAUGCAUUGUGUAAUCAGUGCAACUAUUGUUUUAUUUUUCUUCUUUCAGUUUUGUCAUUAUGCUUUUCAUGCCCUUGUGGUGAUAUUAAGUAGUUAUUUUCUAGAAGCGACAGAUGUAUUAGACUCUGCAAUUUAGGAUAUGGUAGACUACAACCUGAAAACAACUCCAGAUUUUUUUGUGUGUGUGUGAAAGCAGAGCAGGAAAGGGGACCAGAAAUCAUUUUUUAAAUUUUGUGGCUAAUAUGAAAGAAGCUUUGAUAUUUUUCUUGAGGACAAACAGAAAACUUCUCUUCAUUUUGCCCUACUUGGCUCACUUUGACGUUUUCCUGUGUUUCCCACAGUCAAUACUAUCAGCAGCUUUACUUCUUUGCAGUGAGUUGGUGCAGCUAAAACAUUUGAACUGCUUAAAAUAAUCUUUUACCAAAAACCCUAACAUUUAGAAGUUGAUACAGACACCUUUUCUACUUCAAGGUGUGUGUGAACAAGUUGUUGCUCCUCAAGUUGGGUCACUUCAGCUGAUGUGCAAAUCAUUCAGUUUUCUAAUCAAUAUGGUAGACAAAUCUGGGUUACAUUCUGGUGUCACUGAUGUGAUGCAGGCUUCAGUCAAUAUAUUUAAACAGUGCAGAACAACAGUUAUUCAGAAUCAGCAGUUCAGAUGCAGAAUAAGGCCUCUGCACACACAGUACUUUGUUUUAGAAUUAGUUUGUGAACAGAACUGCAAAACAGAGGCCAUAAUUAUACCGAACCUUUAAAUGUGAAAAGAUAAAUGGCAAAGAUUAACUGUAAAGCUGCUAUUGAAGCUGCUCAUGUAAGUACUUGGGACCAGUCCCUCCAAUAAAAACAGACUUUGCUUAACAAGUACCGUUGCAGCACUAAUCCCUCUUUCUUAGAUUCCUUUCUAAUUUGAAACAAAAAUAACUAGCAGUUUCUCAUAGCAGAGACACACUACUGACUCAGGACUACACCCAUUCAAGAGUUCACUGCACACUGAUUAAUCAAAGAUUCUGAGAAUAAGGCUCUGUCUGCAGACAGUUCUUGCAGAGCCACAGGUCUGCCCAAUUACAAUGACCAUUUGAAGCAGGCUCAACACAGGCAGAUACCUCUGGUUUCCACAGAACAUGUAGAAAAAGAUUUCAGUUUCGGGGGUAACAUAAACAUGGCCAGAGAGAAAAGUUUAACGUAGCAUCAGGCAAGAACAAACCAGCAAUUUUUGUUUUCUAAAAAGCAGAACAAAAUUUCAGAGCCUCACCUCUGUAACACAUUUGUGCCCACAGACCAUUUUCAGCUUUCCUUGUAGAGAGGUUACUGCUGUAUGUGUCAGUGUCUGACACACAUAUACACACUCACAGAUGGACACUACUUCAUCAGGGCAGGAAUAAACUGUAUCUCAGGACGUAUAAACAGCCACCAAGACAGGCAACGAGGCAGGCUUAUGAACAGAAAUAUAUCUCUAAGAUUUGAAGUAAAGUAAGUGAUUACCUUGUGGCAUACGUUACACUGAGUUCAUUUAAUACGUUGCUAAGUUUUGCUUGAAGUUCUUUUAGAACAGUACUAGCUUCUUGAUCCAACUGCAAAGAGAUAAGUCAUGUUAUAUUUUUCUUAUAAAAUAUAUCUUGGGUUUUCUGUUAAAUUAGCACACUUGGAAUUAUAUGCAAUGAUAUACUGCACUAUGGAAAACCAAAUAUGGAAACACCUGCUACAACACAGGAGUAUUUAAUAAACCUAAAAAUCCAAUUGCCAAUUAAAGUAAAAUAUUUGAUAGUAGCAGUGAAAGGAUUACAAUAUUGGAAAUCAAAACAGUGCCACUGAGCAAUGACCUUCUGUGAGAUGGUGCAAACUGUGGCAGAAUAGAAUUACCACAUCAGGCCAAUGGUAUUUAUAAAGCACAUCUAAAGAAAGAUGCAUGGAGAAUUAGUGCUUGUGUUAAUGUUACUGUUUUUUCUUUUUUAAUUUGGGUGUAUAUUUUACCUAUGGCAUUACUAUUAAUUAAUCUUGUGAUUCCCUUGGAAGAUGUUUCCAUUUUCCCAUUAAUGCAGCAUGAAAAUAGAACAGCUUGGACUGGAAAAGAUGGCUUCAAGACUAUCCAUGCUGCUUCUAUUGAUACAGCACGAAGGAAAGGGAUCCACUGUAUUUCAGUGUUUCUAUAUCUAAAAGCCAUUAAGACAUAAAUAAUUCAAGCUCAGCGCAACACAUUCUGAUGUACAGGGAGAGCAGCUCCUGUAUCUUUGAUACAGGUUUUCUAAACAUAGGAAAAGAGAAAAUGCAGGGAAGAAAUGUAAUUUUACAUUUACAGGGGUGAGGAUUCAUGCAUGUAUAUUUAAUCAAAAAGGUACUCUUUUGAUAUUGAUCAGCAGCUUGGUUUUUUUGCUAUGCAUUCUUUUCCAAAUUACACUAAAUGACCUCUUUUUUUCCUCCUUAAGUAUUUAAGAAAAUAGUUACAGUCCAUUGUAAGAUAUGAUUGAUGAUCAUCAGGAUCAACAAUUAAUUAAGACAAUCAAGAAUAAAUUAAUAGCUGAUGUUCCUCAUCUUUGAGCUACCUAUAUAACAGUAUUAGAGGGAGGGUAAUUUUCAGAUACAAUCCUCAAAUUCUAGGCUCACCUCUGCAAUAAUGUCAGAUAGAGAUUUUCAGACAAAUUCAAAGAAAAUGUUGUGUUUGGAAUACAUAAACAUGUCUGUGUUUGCAACCUCAUAUCUUUCAACUGCAUGAGUGUUUAGUGCUUGCUCUUCAUCUGAUGCUUCAGAGUGCUGUGGUUUAAUAGGCCAGCAUUUCUAAUCGUACUUCAGCCACGGGGGAAGCUGUGCAACAGCACACUGGAUGGCUUACAUAAGACUACACAGGAAUUGUAAGGCAAAAUAAAGAAAGCACACACAAACCCUGAAACACCCCUAAAGAUCUACUGCAUUCUAGUCUCAGGGUAUUCCUUAAAGCUUACUUGUGGUUUAAAAGCUUAGAAAAUCUAACUUUUCCAUUACAGUCCGACAAAUAUCUGAAAUAGAUGAACAGUGCAAUUAGUAUGCAUCCUUUAGAAAAUAUCCAGUGAUGUGUAGUACUUAUCUAAUCUGAGAAGCUGCUAUUUUAACACUGUGAAUUUUGUGAUUUAGUUUUUAUUUAUUUUGCAUUAUGAGAUGUUUUGUUGCUUCUCCACUUCGUGUCUUAGUAAUUUCCCUCUAGAUAAACUCUGGCAGUUCAGACGCUUAAAGUGAUUGCUUUCCAUCAUAUGAAAAGCAGAGAUUAAAAAACUAAUUUUACCUAACUGUCUAUAUUAGUUAGCAAAGUUCGAGUUGGCUAGCAAAGGUACCAGUCUUUCCUGGAAGUGCAGUUCACUAGGGAACUGUGCCACCCCCUUUGGUAGGAUGUGUGUGGAACACAAACUGAAGAACUCCACUAGAAUGUUAACAAAUUCAACGAACAACAGAACACAAAAGCACUCACACUGAACAUGGUACACUUCAGAGAUAACAAAGAAUGCUGUGCAGGCACAAGUCUCAGAAUUUCUUAUCAUGUUAUGCACAAGCUAGAGAAUCUUCUUAUUAGGACUACAAAUGUAGGUACAUCCUAUUGGGGGGUGUUGUGAAGCCCCAGAAGUACAUUUGCAAAAUUCACCCAGAAUUGGACUUAUUCAACCUCAGAGAGAUCAGUUACUGAUAUCAGAUUGUGAACAAAACACAUAAUAGAAAGUGCAUGCAUGCGUUUGAAGUGAGCAUUGUGCUCAAAAACUGCACAAACAAAUUUGUGAGCACAGCUAGAGGCAGUUGGCAGGACAGCCAGCCUUGGGUGUGCACAUGCUCAUGCUUACUAGUGCAGCAUCGUAGGGAGGAGUGGAAUAUAAAGAGGUAUGCAGGCUGACUGUCUAGGUGAUGAAUACCUGGUGGUGAUGACUGAGAAUAUUUUAGCAAUAAUUCUAAGUGCUGUUAUUAAUUUUGUUUAACUACAGGACAAUAUGAUAACUUGAGUGCUUCACUGAAAGUAAAAUGUGCACUUUUCCUUUACUUUACCAGCUGUCCUAUGUGUGCCAGUGAGUUCCUACGGCAAAUCAGAGUCCUUGACUAGCAUCAUCCAAAUACACCUCAGCAAUUUCUCUGAUGUGACAGAGCUGACAUGGGACCUAUUAUGAUAAUUCUAUACUGUGAAAGUCCUUGGCGAGUACACUACUGGCAAAGAUGGUUUUGGAAUGGCCUUAUACAGUGGAAAUAAGAUGCAGUAGCUUUUGGUGCUACUGCACAUCACACACUAAUUAUUAUGGGUUGUCAUCCACAUGCAGAAAGUGGUACUGUUUCCCUCUUAAAUAAUCUAUAAAUCUGCAGUUCAUGGCCUAUCCGCACUUAAAAAAAUGACACAGUGCUGACAGCAGAAAAUCACAAACAUCUCAAGGAGGACAUUUCUGGUGUGUGCUUUUGAAGGACAUAGGGAUUUUAGCAAUGAUGCAAGCAGCUCCUGCAUUUUUUUCUUGUUUUUAACCAGACUUGCUUGUUCUCAGGAAAGUAUUGUGUGGGAAAUGCACAGAGAUGUGCAAAUGAUUUAGCUUAAUGAAGCUGACAUGCUGCAAAACUUAUGCAGGCUGACGUCACAAGACUCGCUACAUGAGAUAGAAUCGCAUAGCUAUUACUAUGUAAAACUGCUAUGAGGCAAAGUCAUUUAUCCAAGACUUUCCAGUAAACAAGAGAAGUUCAGAGCUUUGUGGCCUACUAUUGCUAUCUAACUAGAAGGUAAAGAUGAAAACUACCAUCUAUUUCACUUGCUGAUCUGCUGCGAGAUUACUCCACGUCUGACAGUGCAGAGUUAUUAUGGGAAGGGAAGUCUGUGAGAAAUUGAAUUCCUCAUACUAGUUUUUAUUAGUAGCAAUCCAGGAGAACAGAGACAAACAUAUUCAGCUGCAGAAAUCUCAACCACAGUCAGAUGAUGAAUGUUAGGUCUAAUCUAGCCCUAACAUUACCCUACUUUGCAAUCAACUAGAAUGAAAAAAUGAAAGGGAGGCAAAAUACUACGCUGAUCACUGUCUGAGAUUAUGUUAUAUGGGGAUGGAGAUGAAGUAUCUGCCGUAUUUGGGACUUUUAUUCUUCAAGCCUUACGUGCUCCUGUGGUGUCUGAUAAAUAAUAAUAAAAACCAAUCAAAUAACAACAACAAACAACCUGAGUAUUUUUUUCAGGAAAAGAAAAACUAACUGAACAGAUAAUUGCCGAGGGAAAAAGGUUUGUAAAUAAUAAAAAGGUUUGUAAAUAAUAUGCCAUAACUAAUUUAAGAACUGAAAGAGAAGAAAGGCCAUUUAUCUUAGUUUCUUGGGUUGCAUUUACAAUUCAUGGCAUGAAUGUGCAGUCUAAUCUUAAAAUAUGAGGCUGCUCCAGCAAUAACAUCUCCUAUUUAUUUCCAUGAAAACUAAAGCAGAUACAAAGAGCACGAUAGUACUAUUUGAUACAACAAGUUCUUGGUGCCGAAACACUAUUUUUUAACAGUCACCACCAUUAGAUACGCAUGUUUGCGAGCAGUGAGCAAGGGCCAGCACAUUGCUCUCAUAAAAAUCAUUAAAACUGUGAUUAUUUUUUCUUAUUAUUGUUUACAAAUACCAAAAAUGAGUUAAAGUUCUGAUGGAUUUGACUGCUUGUGAUAUAAGGCGUUAGAUGGAGGUAUUCUACACCGUAAUUUAAUGCACAGCAAAUCUUGUUAACUGCAAAUUUUGUACUGUUUCCAAAGGAAAUUACAGAUGUGCAAGUUACUUUUACAUGUGCUAAAUCGGAACCUCUCUAAUUAGAAUUCCAUUUGACUGCAUUUAUCUAUAAUUUCACAGGUUGAAUAGCUUGUGUAUGCUUUCCUAAUGAGACUAACUAGUUACUUCAGAAAAAAAAAAAAAUACAUAAAAUAGUUACAAUCAGGGAAGUGACAGGUAUUUAUCAGAUCUGGCACUUCAGUGGUUCUUUCUGUCUAUAACAGGCGUCAGCCUCAUCCUUUCUCUAUCAUGACCACCCAGCUGACUGUCCCAGGUACAGUGAAUCUAAUUUGGACAAUUCAGAACUAUUCUGCCUGAAUCCUUUGUGGGUCUGGACCACUGUCAUCAAAUCAAAGACUUUGAUGUAAUACUGUUGCACAUAACUUGCUUUCCUUUCAAGUUUUUGUUGUUGAUGUUUUUUGGUGCUUUUUAAAUUAAAAAAAAAUUGCUAUAACUCAUGUCUCUAUACUCUGCUAUAGUUAGUACAUUCAUUUUAUUCUUUAUCUAAAUACUACUUUUUAACAUGACAGGUUUCAAUGUCUCAAAAAGGUGUCAAUUUCUUCAUAAGCUUUCAAAACAAGUAGUUAAAAACAACACAUUUGUGACUACCAACUGCAUGCACGUGUACCUAUCUGUGGAAGGUGAAUUCCAAAAUUAGACUGAGAUCUUCAUAAUUUCAAAAUGUUUUCUGACACAUUAGUCGAGUAAACGUGAUUUUAUAGAAAUAAAUACAUAUGGCACUUUUGGAAGUGUUUACACAGCAGACUAUCCGUGGGCCAGGGAAGCAAUUGUUACCUUGGUUUUUGUGCUAUUCAACUAAAAUGAAUGAAACCAACAGCUAGGCUUUCAAUUCAAUUCUGUCAUGAAUUUGAAAAAGAAUAUGUUAGUGUUUAUUCUGAUUAGCCAAAAAUAAUUCUUAACAGGUGUAGAACUGUAAUUUUUACUCAUCCAUAUGAUUGUUUGACACAAGAGCUAAAGGCUAAGAUUAGUAAAAUAUUGAAACACAUUUAUGUCGCUUUACUACCGAGUGGACUUGAGACACUUCUAAAGUCAUCUUAAAUAUAAAAGGAGAUAAAGCUAAGCAUAUUCUGGACUGUUGAAUAGCUGCUCUUGUUAAAAUAAGUGUCUAAUCCUGGAUACAAGUAAGCCCUCAGAGAUAGUCAGAAGAGCACUUAAAAGAAUGUUUUGUAGCUUUUAAUACAUUCUGAAAGACUUCACGCUAUCUGCCUAGUAAAACAUUUCAAUGUAGAGAGUCGACUGAGUGCCCAAGCAUAGCUCUUUUUGAUUUUUGUUGAUAGGGAAUUACACAAAUGCAUCAAUGAAGAUUAGUAGGAAAUGUGACUGUUCUUAGUUUUAGAAAAUAUGGUCAGGAAUAAUAAAAGAUGCUUACUAUCACAAACCUCAUAAGAGAAUCUCUCUCCUUCUUUCUUCUGCUCAGUGGAUUGCAAGUUAAAGGCAUUAGACAAAGACAUGACACAUUACAGACAAAGCACAAGGCACAUAUUCUGCACAAUAUUCAGAUAUGGGCAAAACAUACUGAUACAUAAAAAGGCAAAUUAUGAUCCAAUACAAACAUUAAAGUAAAGCUGGCACUACACACUACAACACAAAACACCCACUGCUGGUAGACCUUUACAGAUCAUUAGCAUGUUUCUGAGAAAUAGUGCUAAGUCUUUCUGGCAUUCUCAGAGCAUUAAACAGUUAUUGCAUGUACUACUUGCUAAAUUUUGAUUUUCUUGGCAAGCAGAAGCAAAGGCUGUUGCUGGAUUGAAAACGUGGUGCUAAUGAUCUCUAAGGAACAUUGAAUGAAAGAGGAAAAGUUACCACUCACCUCCUUCCCUCCCAUGGACUCAAACAUUUUCUCAAGCUGCACUCGUAACUGUUGAAUGUUGUUCAUCAAGAUACAGGGCUACAAAGAAAAAAAAAAGAUAACAUAUGAGAAAUAGGCAUGCUGUAUUCAGGCAGCUGUGCUUUUAGAGGAUGAUCUGUGUUUCUUGACAUGUGCAGCUUCCUCUUCCUGCUUUAUUUCACACUUGCCCAGUUAGUACAUCCACUCUGACAGGGACUGCCCAUUAUGCCUUUAAGAAAAUGUUGCCCCACAGGAGACUGGGUCCCUUCUCCCAAGGAGUUGGGCAGUUUUCAGAUCCCAGUGUUUCAUCAAUUGCAUUCAAUUAAGUACAAUUAAUCAAGAAGUGCACUGUUAUCUAUUUGAGAACAGAUGCAGUAAUGGCCAAAGUACUCUGGGAGUGAAAAUAGAUGAGAGUAGAGGGAGUACCAGAUUACUUUCUAGAUGCAGUCUUUGCAAAGAGGUGUGACAGCACUGGAACUCAGAAAAUGUCUGAUGCACAAGUAUAUGAAUAAAUCAACAGGCAAUACUUUCAACUACAGAAUAUUAUUCCAGACCUGUAAUAUUUUUCUUGGUCCAAAAUUCUGUGAAUGGGCAAUACAAUUUUGUAAACACUUUAGUCUAAAAAUAUUGCUGCUUAAGCUAAUUAAGGCAUAACAAAAUCACAGUGUAAAGGACAGCAAUUGCUUGAUUAAUAUAAGGUAAACAGUAAAGCGUAGAUGAGAUUAAGCAUCUUAUUACAAAAACAUGGAAGAAAUAACCUCUUGAUAGAUUUUUAGUUUGUUCAGAUGACAUUAUAGGCAAGUUUAGAAUUGUGUGGGAGGAGCAACAAGACAGCACUUGUGAAAGUAAUUCUGCUUGGCCAAGGACAGUGUGUUCUAGUGCUUAAUUGGGAUAAUCGAGACAUUGAAGUAAUAUAUUUUAAUGAAAUAGAUACACACUUUUCCAAACAAGAAGGUAAUAUAACAAUUUGAGCAACUGAUAAUCAACCGUACCUUUCUGGCUAUUAGCAUGUUUCAGUGUAAUGCUGAAACGUGGUGGGAUUAUAUUUUGUAUUGAAAAAGUCAGGAACAAAAUUUAGCUUUAGCUACUGCAAUUAUGCUCAGAGGAACUCAGGGUCGUAAGCCCUUCUCAAUUGAAGUAAAAAGAGAAAUCUGAUCUAACUUCUUAAUCUUACAUUACUGCUUCUUACUCAAACAUGCUAUUUGCCCUCCACCGAAAAACAGUUGGUGGUGGGUAAUGGUUGAAAUAUUGCCUCUUUCCAGUCUCUUCAGAAAUCCACAAACCCCACUUCUAGUUACUUAUCUACCUUCUGUUCAUUUCAGAUGACUAAAAUUGUGUCUGCCUCUCCUUAGCCAUAUCUUCCUUUCUACCAUAUUCAUUAUUCUAGAGACUAUCUGCAAUAUAAAUCAGUGAUUAUGAUUUCUGAUGAGACAAAAAACAGUUGAACAAAAUGUCAGGGUUCUCUUGUUUAAAGCAAAUGGAAAUGCCUUUGCCAAUAUAGAGAAGCUAUGAGAUAAAUACUUCAUUAAUGAGGCAUUUUAAACAUUUUCUUUUGGGCUGGCUAAGGUGGCUCUCACAGUGCCUACACCUACCUUAGCCCAAUGCAAAAUAUCUAUUGCUAUUAGUAAAUAACAGAACUGGAGCUUAAAAACUGUUUUUUUACUUCAAUAUGUUAUGUCCUUCAGAACACCCUUUGCAGCGAAUUAGAGGAAUCAGGCAGACAGAUGAAACAAUGUGCCAAAGAGAAUAGUGACUACCAUGCAUAAAAAUCAGGUUUGUUUGUAAACUCUGACAAGAGCUGGAAGAUUAGGGGAUGUUUUUACAUUAUAUGCUUCUUUAUGAAAAACACCUCUGGUAUGUUUUCAUCUGAACAGUUGACACAUACAUGUUAUAGUGCAUAGUGAAAAUACUGAUUUGAAAUAGAGUUCCAAAAAUGCAAUUAUAAUUAUGACGAGUAUAAGUUUAAAUCUCUUCUGUCAAACCAAAUGCAGAAGAUGGGCUUUUAAUAUAACUGAACUCACUGGAUCAAAUGAUCCUUUAUUAAGCUAGAAGCACAUGUUUCAAAAUAACAGAUUCUACUAAAAGUAAGUUAUCCCCCCUAAAGGCAUUUUUAUAAUCCUUUAUGAUAUAUAUAUAUAUUAAUAUUACAAUAAUGUAAUUAUAUUUUUUCCAUCUAAAUCCAUAGAAAAGUUUGGCAUCCUACGUUGGUUUCAGAAAUCAACUACUAUUAAAAAAAUCCUAUUGUACAGGCCAAAAGUCUACACAGUGUGACUCAGUAGCAGAACACUAUGCAUUACAGCUCAAUUCUUACAGAAAAUGGUAAAGUUAAUUUUAGUAUUAAAAUGGAAGAAGUAGAAAAUACAGCUACAAGUUUUAGUUCAUUUUACAUUAGAGAACAGUUAUGGCUCAUACUGGUUCAUUAGCCCCUUGUAGGCUAUGAUGCAACAGAACAGCACAUGACUUUCUCACUGCUGCAUGGAGAUUGGCAGUAGCAGAAAAGUCAGCACAUAUUCUUUGUAUAGGAAACUCUUCCAGAAAUAUUACUGGUAAAGAGAGGUGAGCCAAUGCAGAAUGAAAACUAAGUUUUUUUUUGUUUGUUUGUUUGUUUUGUUUUGUUUUUUUUGCUGGAAAAUUGGAAAUAAAAUAUGGGAUGGCAAUAUUGAUUACUUUCAUAUUUGGAGUAUACCACUGUAUAAGACAUCUAGGUAGAAACAAAACACAGCUUUGUACUCACCACAUUUUCUUUGUCACAGUAUGAACUGAAGUAACUUGAAAUAAUUGCAGCAUACUGAAGCAGCACUUUGUUGAUAGUCUAGGAGAAGAGAAGAAACUUUAAUAAAUUUCAUCAUGUAAAACAAAAAAAAAAGAACAAAGUUUUUUUAAUGAGCUAUAGGUUUUACAGGUGCUUACACGUUUUGUGUAUUUUAUUUUACUUUAGAUAUCAUAUAAACUAUCCUGUAAACAAACUUUCAAAUCCUUGCCGGAAAGUCUCUAUGUUAUCCUUAAUGGAACGCAGUUUUCAAUAGCAGAGGGAUUGCUUCUGAACGACACUGAAAUUAGCAUUUAAAUACAAUGGCAACACAAUAUCACUCUCUGAAGUUUAGUUGAGAUGCAUUGAUUUUAAUCUACCUUUGCAAACCUUCUCAUUAAAUGAGACAGUGCUUCUGGAUUAGGACACUCCAGUUUCCUGAUAAUCUCAAAGCUUUGAUUGAGCUGUGUGAAGACGUCAACCACUGAACAUGAAAAAAGGGCAUGGUCUGAUGUUUGCUGAAACUAGAGAAAGAAAACAUUCAAAUAGUUAAUACUUGUCCAAACUGUAUAAACUGAUUUUCCUACUUGAAACGUUCUUUCUAGAGACAGGAAAAGUAUUAAAUAAAAUCUUACUGCUAAUACAGAGACUUUUCACCUUGAUAUGACUUCAGUCCCUUUAGAAAUAAAAGAAAAAUUCUCUUUCAUGACAUCAGUAUCACAUCAGAGUUUAACAAAACUCUGAUGGAAGUCAGUGGGGAGCUUAGACAGAUAAAAUUAGAGCAGGAAUUUGUGCACAGGGUUGUCUUUUCAUACAGUUUUUUACGGUGCAUCUUGGGAGGUCUUAAUGAAGAUACUGCAGGAUCAAGUGUACCUCUUGUUUUGCAACACUAAUUAACUGCCUUGCCUUAGUACAUUCUUUUUCUUUUAAAAAAUAUGGACUCACUCCAUCUUUUUUGUCUCUUUCCAGUGCUCCGUGAAGAAACUCCAUUGAGACAUCCUCAUUUUCAUCCAGCCACUGAAUGACAAAUGGUUCAAACCAUCUGAAAAUUAAAAACAGUCUUCUAAAGUAACUACAUUCCUUAAAGAUUUGUCACUGCGUCUUCAUGUCUGUUAUAGUUGCCAUAAGAUACUGUGUUUAACAAAACACAUUUCAGCUUAACUCUGCUAUUCAAUCUGGCCUUGCCCAGUGAUGUAGAAUUUGUAGUGGCCAUCAAAGGAAUGCACUUAUGUUUUGCAGAUGAUCAUAUUCAUAUUUAUUUUAUAAUGUGUCUUUCCCAGUAUUGGUUCCUUUUCAAUAUUUAAUUGCAUGUGAAAGAAUGUGGAGAAAGCUUCUCUUUAAUAAAAUGUCAGAUGUUUAAUCUUUCUUCAGUUUAUUUAGAAUGUUUUUUGAAACAGUGACAUCCACCAAGCCAUUUUGGAAAAUCAGCAGAACUUGCAGAAGAUUAAAGAUGUGAAUAAAGAUUUCUCAUACAAAAGGAUAGAAUUGAAUGCAUUAAUUUCAUAGGAAAAAGUGGAAUUUAAAACAUCAAAUGAACGUUAGCCCAAUGCACUAAGAUUCAUUUCAGUACUGUAUCCCAAUAGCAUCAUGUCUUGACCCAGAAAUAUGAAAUAUGAAAGAUGUAUGAAAUAAUACAUGUACCAAUGAUCAAUAUUGCUGCUCUUCCAACAUUUCCUAUUUUUUUCACAUAUUUUCUGAUCAAAAUAUUCUGUUAUCUGUGAAAAUGACAGCUGUUAUAACAGGCAGGUAAACUGUUAUAUAAAACAAAUGACAACAGUUUUAGUAAUUAGUUUAUAAAUUGUGGAAUUAAAGAGGAUGAAGUACAGAAUAUGUAUUUAAAAUUAGUGCUGUAUAUAUUGAUAUCUUGCAUAAACUUAAGCAUACAUUUUUGAAGGAAAUAAACCUUGCACCAAGCCCAAACUCGUGGGAGCCUUCCCUACACACUACUUACAGAGAAUAUUCAGGCACUGCAUCCUUGAAAGCAUGGAGCUCUCGCACAUAUUCAUUAUAAAACCAUUUCACUUUGAAGUGCAAAUUCAUAUAAUCUGUGCUCUUACAUAACCGUUGAUUUUCAUGUUCUGUAAUAAAAGAAGAAGAAAUAAAAACAUUUAAUAACAUCUUAACAGUAAAUGACAUUAUCCUGCCUCAAUGCAGUAGUGAUACAGUACUUGCAUUACGAAGGACAAUCGGUUUGAUUUUUUUAGAGGUAGGAGCACCUGCAGUUUCUGAAUAUCCUUAGGAAAUACAAACCAAAGCACAGGUCAGUUCUAGAAAUGAGCUGCUGCCAAAUGAUGAGCAUACAUUUGCAGGAGGGUACCAUUUAUUCAGUUCCAUCCAUUUAAGCUCUAUUUUUGAAGUUAAGGUCGAACAUAAUAGAAACAAACAUGAAAGUAAUUCAUGAGCAAUUUUGUUUUUGUGUUUUUUUUAAUUUUUUCUUUUUUUUUGUGUAAGGGAAAGAAUCUUUCACAAAUCUCUCAGAUGUAACUUGUAGCUACAUGAAGCUGAAAAAUACAUCCUAAUUUCCUAAUAUUAACCUUUGAGAAGUUCAAGAUGGGGUUAUCCACCAUGAAUGCAGUUUCUGCAAUGAACAAGAAAUCUGUCAGAGAAACAAAAAGAUAUUUGCUCAUGCAAUGAGGACAACAGCAAUCUGCAAGGCUGCUCCAAAGGUCUGACAACUCAGAAUAUCGUCUCUGCAGAACUGAGGCAAUCUCCUGCUGUAUCCACACAGCAGCCAAUUUCUGGCCUGAUCCUGAUCUUGACUUCUGGCCACUACCAAAAUUAGAUUAUCAUAAUAACAGCAAUUAGAGUGCUCUAUUGCUAACAGUCUGGAUAGCUUUGGACAUUUGAUCUGACCUAUUCAAAAUUCAGAGAUGCAAACUAUAAGAGAAAGACAUUACUGAGGACAUUGAUUAAAAAAGAUACUUUUCAAAUUGUAUGUCUAAUUUCAGCUCGUUAGCCUCUUAUCUUCCAACAUUUACGCCUUCCUGCUUAGAAGGAGAAUGAUUUCUUACCAUAUCAAGUCAGUAACAAAUCACUUGCACUGCUGGUGGAAUUCUCUCUGUUCUCUUUGGUUUGUACCGUAAAUAAAGAAUAUUUUGAUGACCAGACAGAACAAAUGUAAACAUCUUGUGAGCUCAGAUAGGCUUGUAUAAACUAAAUGCCAAACAACAACGUAUAAUCAAUCUUGCAAAUCACUCCUACCUCACAAAAUAACUCACAAUGAAGAAAAAAGGCCAAACCUAAUGAAGUGAGUUCUCAAAGAGAAACAUUUGAUACCUUCUCCAUGCAGCAUCAGUACGUGAAAAUAAUCCCAAUAGCUUCAGAUUAGAAAAAAAAUCAGAACUGGAGUGGGAUGAAUUUGUUCAAGUUUGCAUAGAGCUUUUAAUCGUAGCCAAAGACUAAACAUCAUUAUUAAUCUGAAAUGGAAGAAAAUCUAGAAUAAAACAAUUAGCUCAAUGCUAGAUUUUAUCGUAGUCUCUUGUUUGCAUGUCACGUCAACCUGGAAUGGUGCAGCCCUGGUCUCAGCAACUGCGGAUUCUGGAUCUGUCCUUCGGGAUGCCCUUUUUCCCUCACCCAUAAAGAGAACUGACUGAAUUGACAGCAAAAAUCUAUACUGUCACACACCCAUAUGCUACCUUAGCAUCUGUACCAUCACGCAGCCACUGCAACAGAGCAAAAGGCCACUGCUGUGGAAGCUGCUGUUCUGUCUUUUCAGUCACACAGCGGCAGCCUCUAAGCACCCUUUCUUCCCAUCAAAGAGGGCUGGAGUUUUCCUGGGCAAGAAAUGAGGGAAAGGUAAGAUGGAGAGGUGUAAUGACUGCUGCCUGCCUCCUACUGGCACUUACUGCAGAGAGGUCAGACAGCACUACUGAAGAGCAACACCAGCAGCUGCAGCUCCCUGCAUCCCCGAGUGGACAGAUGAAUCAUUCAGCUGUACAGCCAGAGGACAAGCCCUGGACAGCCAUUCUCUCUGCUCUCAGGAAAACGUGAACACAGAUGCUAGAUGUUUCAGUAUUCAUCUUCUGUUAGAGAAUAGAGAUAUGACAUACUAAUUCCCUGAAUUUACCUUCAUGGGAGUUAGUGGGUAGGAACUAAUAAAGUGAGGAAAAGAACAAAAACAGGAUCCUAGAUGAUCUUAUUUAAUCACAUCAAUGAUCCUUUUUCAAAUGAUGUUGGACUAUGUCAUAGCUUCUUGAUGAGACACAGGAAGGAAUCAACUUCAUAACAAUAAAGAUGAUGCUCGAGAAAAUUAAUACUAAAUUGGAUCCAGCAGAGGCUGCAACAAUCCUGGACUCUACAUAUGAACAGAUGGCAGCCUGUGUUAAUAACUUGGAAGGCUAGACUUGCAUAGCUGAAUGUGAUACAUUUUAAUGAUAAAUAAAUAAAAAACUGUAUGAAUCGAGUGUGACCAUAUUUAAUGGCUUACUCCUAAUUUUGCAGAAUUCACACUGAAAGGUCUUCCUGCCAUUAACAAUUGCAGAAUCAAAUUCAGUUGGUAGAGGAUUUGGGGAAAUAGUGAUUUAAAGAACAGUAAAGUUGGAGAGAGGAGCAGAAUAUUGAUCUGUAUUUUGUGACUACAUUUAUCAAGAUUCUGUUGCAGGAUGGAAAUCAUAUACAUUUAUCAUACUUUGUAAUUAAAUUCAGUUUCCUUUACGUAUUCUAUAUACACAAAAACUGUCUCACUGUUGAUUCUGGGAAUGAUCUGGGAUGUUUAGUUAGAAAAAUGGCAUUUGCUCCUCUCAGAGAGCAUCUAUAGCAGCACAGAGGCAAGGCCAAACACAGGGUCUGGUUUGGAAUAGGUUUAAAAAGUCACAUGCCUCCUAAUUAAUCCUCUAUACCUCUUUCUGAACAGUCAGGACAUACCUUAUAUAUUAAUCAUGCUUAAAUACAUUAAUAUUUGUUUUCAAGUCCUGACCCAGCCAAACCUUCCAUACUUGCUGUAUUUCUCAAGAGCUUCUUGUUCUGUUCUUCACAACCACAACACAAACCAUUAUUUGAUGUAAAGCUGCUUUUGUGGGAUCAGGUACACUCUGCUUAGCAAGUAGAGUGGUCUUGGCUGAAUCGUCUUCCUGUUGUACAGAAUGUUUGUAGGUGAAUAACUGAAACACUACAAGAAUGGGAGGUGCUUAUGGCUAUUUGUGCACAAAGUACUACACAUUCAAAAUUAUGGGAGCCUGAUAAUGUAAUGCCUAUUAGAAAUUCUUAUGAAUCCUUGUGGUGUUAUGAUCAGAAAAUUCAGUUUCUGUACACUCCCUUCUGUUGAUACCAACUCCUGAUUUACAGCUCGUUGCAAUAGAAUGCUAUUACCACUCACUCAGCUUCCAGGGACAUGUUCUAACCCAAAAUCAUGGCUUUCAUUUGGUCUUCCUGCUUCUCAGCUUCUGGUGGCUUUCAGCUUCAUUGAUCACUCUUAAAGGAUUAUCUCCUGUCUGACAUUAGCUUUCUCAGUCUAGUCCUUUUGAUUCUCUAACAUAACUAUAGAUCAUUGACUUCUAAUAUUAGAUUGCAAAUCUUUUCUUACCCACAUUCUAGAUUUGGUUUCUUAUAUCUUCUUCUGUCAUUAUACAUGUUAUAACCACUGCUCCUGUAAUUCCUUCCUUCCUUUCUUCCAGAAUUCAAAUAACUAACAAAGCAACACCACAGUAGAUGAACAAAUUAAUUCUUCCAUUAAUAAAUGCUUUAGUCACUUGUCUUUUCUCUCCUCAUCAUGAUGAAAGUUUGUAUCAUCAUCAGAGUAUCCCAUUAUCACAUUCUGGAGAAAAUACUACAGAAAUUAAUCUUCAAACACUGCUUUUUCCUUAAAGUCUGACCUUGUAACUUCACCCUGGAAGAUAUGCCCUGUAGUCAGCAGCAGGCUUGGCUGAUGACAGUGUAUGAGUUUACUUUCCUAAAAGUCACAGCAUCUGGUUUAUUC
rnacentral:lncRNA from 1 species